GCCAGGUGUGGUGGCAAGUGCCUGUAGUCCCAGCUACUUAGGAGGCUGAGGUGGGAGGAUCGCUUGAGCCCAGAAGUUCUGGGCUGUAGUGUGCUAUGCCAAUCGGGUGUCCACACUAAGUUCGGCAUCAAUAUGGUGACCUCCUGGGAGUGGGGGACCACCAGGUUGCCUAAGGAGGGGUUAACCAGCCCAGGUUGAAAAUGGAGGUCAAAACUCCCGUGCUGAUCAGUAAUGGGUUCGCGCCUGUAAAUAGCCACUGCAUUCCAGCUGGGCACCCCGUCUCUU
ensembl:misc_RNA Metazoa_SRP Metazoan signal recognition particle RNA